CCAUUAUCUGCAUUAUCAUGGAAUUGUAAUUUUUCUAUUAAAAGCUAUAAUUUUAUCAGUAAAAAAAAUUAAUUUCAAUAAUUUUUAAAGUGAAAAACAAUUUAUUUAACAAUUACAACAAAAAUUAUAUUAUUAAUAUUUUAAAAUAAGAACAUGAACAUAUUAAAGUAGAAAAUAUCCUAUAAUAUCUAUAAUAGAACUUAACAUGAUUCGUGUAUACAUAGUAGUAAUGAUUUGUGUAUACUACUUUUUAGCGGGCACACACUUAGCAUCGUUCAAAAAAAUUCAAACAUGAGAAGACGAUGAUUGGAGAGAUGACAACAUGAAAUAAUCAAAAUAGACAUAUGUCCAAUAUGAAAUUACAUAUGGCGGCGAGAAACAUAGGAGGAUGAAGCUAGCAACCUUUCAAACAAAUCGACGACGGCGUAGAAGCGUUGAAAUGGAUCGAUCGUGGGAGAUGAGAGCACUAACAAGCAAGAACAAUGAAGAACAAGCAAGAACAAAGCACCUCGAGCUCGGGCAGGGAGAGGAAGAAGGGAGGAGGG
rnacentral:lncRNA from 1 species